rnacentral:rRNA from 1 species
GAUGAACGCUAGCGGCAGGCUUAACACAUGCAAGUCGAGGGGUAGAGGAAGCUUGCUUCCUUGAGACCGGCGCACGGGUGCGUAACGCGUAUGCAACCUACCUUUUACAGAGGGAUAGCCCAGAGAAAUUUGGAUUAAUACCUCAUAGUAUAUGUUUUUCGCAUGUUAGACAUAUUAAAGUUCCAACGGUAAAAGAUGGGCAUGCGUCCUAUUAGCUAGAUGGUAAGGUAACGGCUUACCAUGGCAACGAUAGGUAGGGGUCCUGAGAGGGAGAUCCCCCACACUGGUACUGGGACACGGACCAGACUCCUACGGGAGGCAGCAGUGAGGAAUAUUGGACAAUGGGCGCAAGCCUGAUCCAGCCAUGCCGCGUGCAGGAAGAAGCAUCUAUGGUGUGUAAACUGCUUUUGUACGGGAAGAAACACUCCCUCGUGAGGGAGCUUGACGGUACCGUAAGAAUAAGGAUCGGCUAACUCCGUGCCAGCCGCCGCCGUAA